GACGAACGCUGGCGGCGUGCUUAACACAUGCAAGUCGAACGGAAAGGCCCUGCUUUUGUGGGGUGCUCGAGUGGCGAACGGGUGAGUAACACGUGAGUAACCUGCCCUUGACUUUGGGAUAACUUCAGGAAACUGGGGCUAAUACCGGAUAGGAGCUCCUGCUGCAUGGUGGGGGUUGGAAAGUUUCGGCGGUAGGGGAUGGACGCGCGGCUUAUCAGCUUGUUGGUGGGGUAGUGGCUUACCAAGGCUUUGACGGGUAGCCGGCCUGAGAGGGUGACCGGCGACAUUGGGACUGAGAGACGGCGCAGACUCCUACGGGAGGCAGCAGUGGGGAGUAUUGCACAAUGGGCGGAAGCCUGAUGCAGCAACGCCGCGUGCGGGAUGACGGCCUUCGGGUUGUAAACCGCGUUCGCCUGUGACGAAGCGUGAGUGACGGUAAUGGGUAAAGAAGCACCGGCUAACUACGUG
rnacentral:rRNA from 1 species